GUGGGGAAUCUUGCGCAAUGGGCGAAAGCCUGACGCAGCCAUGCCGCGUGAAUGAUGAAGGUCUUAGGAUUGUAAAAUUCUUUCACCGGGGACGAUAAUGACGGUACCCGGAGAAGAAGCCCCGGCUAACUUCGUGCCAGCAGCCGCGGUAAUACGAAGGGGGCUAGCGUUGCUCGGAAUUACUGGGCGUAAAGGGCGCGUAGGCGGACAGUUUAGUCAGAGGUGAAAGCCCAGGGCUCAACCUUGGAAUUGCCUUUGAUACUGGCUGUCUUGAGUACGGGAGAGGUGAGUGGAACGCCGAGUGUAGAGGUGAAAUUCGUAGAUAUUCGGAAGAACACCAGUGGCGAAGGCGACUCACUGGCCCGUUACUGACGCUGAGGCGCGAAAGCGUGGGGAGCAAACAGGAUUAGAUACCCGGGUAGUCC
rnacentral:rRNA from 1 species